rnacentral:tRNA from 1 species
GCCGAGAUAGCUCAGCUGGGAGAGCAACAGACUGAAGUGCAGAGACAGUCACUGCGUUCUGGAGGUCGGGUGUUCAAUCCACCCUCUUGGCA